AUGGUAGGUGGAGGAGAAUUCAAGGGCACCAUGGUGCAACAGAUGGUGUGUUGUGGCACAAGCAACGCCAACAAUAUCAUGAGUGGGCUGAGGCCUUGUGCCGAGGAGCAAGAAGAAUCCACCAAGAUGCCUCUCCUGUCUUCUUCUCCUUCCAUGGCUUGCUCCCGUGGUCAUCAGCUCCUUCACCACUCGUCAGGUCAAGUUCCUGAGGUUCGUGACAGCGCUGCAACUUCCCCUGCAAGUUUUCAAGGUGGGCAGGAGGAGAGCCAGAUGCCAGAAUCAUGGAGCCAGAUGCUUUUCAGAGGGGGGUUAGUUGGAGACCAUGAGUCAGAUCUACUGUCAAAAGGAUUAGAGGAGGGUCCUAUGGCGGCUCGGGCUGGAGCCCCAGCUUACAGUUUCUAUGGCCAUGGCGGUGGUGAGGAGAUCCAGGCGUCGGGGCCCAACUCUCGGCUGAGCCAGAUGCUCUUGGCUUUCUCUCCAAGGUCAUGCAUCACCUCGAACCUCGACGGCGGCUUGCUGGACUUCUCCAACGGCACGGCGCCGGCGCCCGCACCGGAGCUGUGGAAUCAACAAUCGGAUAACUCGUCUGAGAGUAACAGCACUGCAACUGCAUCAGCUCCCAAGAAGGCUAGGGUUCAAGCCGCAUCUUCUUCGGGACAGUCUAUUCUGAAGGUAAGGAAGGAAAAGCUCGGGGAUAGAAUAACAGCACUUCACCAAAUAGUUUCCCCAUUUGGCAAGACCGACACUGCGUCCGUGCUGCAAGAGACUAUUGGCUAUAUCGGAUUCCUCCUGGGUCAAAUAGAGGCGCUCAGCUACCCAUACUUGGGACAUGGCACUGGUGCAUCCGUACGUCACCAAGCUCAGCUGAACCAUGGCGAUCACAUAAAUGCCUCGGCAGAAGCAGCCCGUCCCCAGCAGGAUGCACAAGAUGGCGAGGGCAAGAAGUCAGAUCUGAGGAGCAGAGGGAUGUGCCUGGUGCCGGUGUCGUGCAUUACCUCGCGUCUGGGCGCCGACAGCGCCUCCGACUUCUGGCAGCCGGCGCCGCCGCUCAGCGGCAUCAUCCUGCGAUAG
rnacentral:rRNA from 1 species